AGUGAACGCUGGCGGUAGGCCUAACACAUGCAAGUCGAACGGCAGCACAGUAAGAGCUUGCUCUUACGGGUGGCGAGUGGCGGACGGGUGAGGAAUACAUCGGAAUCUACUUUUUCGUGGGGGAUAACGUAGGGAAACUUACGCUAAUACCGCAUACGACCUACGGGUGAAAGCAGGGGAUCUUCGGACCUUGCGCGAUUGAAUGAGCCGAUGUCGGAUUAGCUAGUUGGCGGGGUAAAGGCCCACCAAGGCGACGAUCCGUAGCUGGUCUGAGGGGAUGAUCAGCCAAACUGAAACUGGGAACCGGUCCAGACCCCUACGGGAGGCAGAGGGGGGGAAUAUUGGAAAAUGGGCGAAAGCCUGAUCCAGCCAUACCGGGUGGGUGAAGAAGGCCUUCGGGUUGUAAAGCCCUUUUGUGGGGAAAAAAAAGCAGCAGGUUAAUACCCCGCUGUUCUGACGGUACCCAAAGAAUAACCACCGGCUAACUUCG
rnacentral:rRNA from 1 species